GUGGGUAUAGCUCAGUGGUAGAGCACAUGCUCGAGUCCUGGGUUCAAUACCCAGUACCACCA
rnacentral:tRNA from 1 species